rnacentral:rRNA from 1 species
UAGGGAAUUUUGCGCAAUGGGGGAAACCCUGACGCAGCGACGUCGCGUGUGGGAUGAAGGGUUUCGGCUCGUAAACCACUGUCAGAUGGGAAGAUGGGAUUUACAACGAAUAAUUGUAAGUUUUGACUGUACCAUCAGAGGAAGCACCGGCUAACUACGUGCCAGCAGCCGCGGUAAUACGUAGGGUGCUAGCGUUACUCGGAAUCAUUGGGCGUAAAGGGUGCGUAGGCGGAACUGUAAGUCAGAUGUGAAAGCCUUGGGCUCAACCCAAGAAGUGCAUUUGAUACUGUAGUUCUAGAGUACAGGAGAGGAAGGUGGAAUUCCCGGUGUAGAGGUGAAAUCCGUAGAUAUCGGGAGGAAUACCAGAGGCGAAGGCGGCCUUCUGGACUGACACUGACGCUGAGGCACGAAAGCGUGGGGAGCAAACAGG